rnacentral:rRNA from 1 species
AUUGAACGCUGGCGGCAGGCCUAACACAUGCAAGUCGAGCGGAUGAAGGGAGCUUGCUCCUGGAUUCAGCGGCGGACGGGUGAGUAAUGCCUAGGAAUCUGCCUGGUAGUGGGGGAUAACGUCCGGAAACGGGCGCUAAUACCGCAUACGUCCUGAGGGAGAAAGUGGGGGAUCUUCGGACCUCACGCUAUCAGAUGAGCCUAUGUCGGAUUAGCUAGUUGGUGGGGUAAAGGCCUACCAAGGCGACGAUCCGUAACUGGUCUGAGAGGAUGAUCAGUCACACUGGAACUGAGACGCGGUCCAGACUCCUACGGGAGGCAGCAGUGGGGAAUAUUGGACAAUGGGCGAAAGCCUGAUCCAGCCAUGCCGCGUGUGUGAAGAAGGUCUUCGGAUUGUAAAGCACUUUAAGUUGGGAGGAAGGGCAGUAAGUUAAUACCUUGCUGUUUUGACGUUACCAACAGAAUAAGCACCGGCUAACUUCGUG